rnacentral:precursor_RNA from 7 species
CGCCGAGGAUCCACCCAGAGCCCUGUGCACAAGCUUUCUCAUCUGUGACACUCGAGAUGGUUUCAGGGAGUGGACACUGGAGAGAGAGCUUUUGCAAGUCGCUCCUCAUGCCUUGUGGGGUAG